rnacentral:snoRNA from 1 species
ACGCCCUUACUUGAACAGGAUCAGUUCUAUAGUAAUCGUACCGUUGCAUCCUUGAUUGGUAAGGAGGCAAGCACUAAAGCUUGGUUGAUGACACCUGGCGUCCUGACCUGUGGGCCAGAGCGUGAUUAACGCCUCAGAUUGGUCGCUGAUCAUGUGGCGGUAGAGGAUCAUUCCUGUUCAGCUCUUUUUCUUUUUUCUUUUUUUCUUUUUUUUUUGCGGGGCUGUUCAGCUCUUGUUGACCAGGGUGACUCACAGGUUGUCCGACAGGCU